UGCAAAGUUCUUGUUAACUCUGUUUUUAUCUGCAGCGGUAAACAUUGUGUUGAUCAAUUCGUCUAAGAUUUAAAAACUUUUUAAAAGGAAAAAAAAGUUGAACCGGCCCUGAAUUGCUGCGUCUAUGUCGUCUCCCUCUCUUCCCCUCUGAUCUUCCUGAAAACACCUGCGUGAGUCAGGUAACUCACCGAUGAAGAGGGAAGUACUUGGCCACUGAACGGUGAAAAGGUUGUUUUGCAGGUAUGUGUUCCAGUCGGGGUAUAUGCGGUGACAGCGGUCGUCCCAACAGAUCCCCUAGCUCAAGGAGCUCUGGUUCAGGCGCCCACUAUGCUCUGUGUGCCCUUGGAGUGGGCGUCAUUGCCCUUGGCAUUGUCAUGAUUGUUUGGACUGUGAUACCUGGAGGGGAUUCAGGUGCCUCUCCAAAACCAUCAGGCAACUCCACAGGACCUAAUAACAACGGUGGUGGUAAUAAUUCAGCCACAAAGACCCCAACAGUGGCCAUGGUGCUUGUUGGAGUUGGGGCAAUGAUGCUGAUCUUGGCCAUUGGCCUUGGUUUAAAGAGCAAGAAGAGAGCUCGGGAUAGAAGGAGUGAGCCUGUGACCACAGGAGUCCCCUUUAUGACUCCGAUACCAGAGGAGCCUCAGCCCGACCCAACUACGUACAACGUGCCAACCUAUGAGGAAGUCGUCAGCAGCAGCGAGUACCCCGUGCGUCAGAGUAACCUUCGGCAGAGCACCUCUCACCUGCCGUCCUACGAGGACAUCAUAGCUGCGGUGGAAAACGAGGGAACAGAGCCCGCUAACAACACGACUGACGAAACCCCUGUUAAUGAUCAACCCGCAGCCGCUGAGCCUCCAUCUGAACCCGCUGGCCUUACAUCUAACCCCAGUAUGCCAACCCGCAGUGCUAGUCGGGCCAGCCGCUUGCUCCGGCCCCUCCGAGUGAGAAGAAUCAAAUCUGACAAACUGCACCUGAAGGACUUCCGCCUUCAAAUCCGCACCCCCACACAGAACCCAGUAACCAUUGAACCCAUCACUCCUCCUCCACAGUAUGAAGAUAAGUUGCCUGAAUUGAAUUAGGGCAAGUGUUCUACAUCUAUCUUAAUGUGCGUUUCUAAAAAAUGGAAAAAAUCUGAAUUUGCAUAUUUAUGCUAUUUUAAUUCAUUAUUAGGUAUGUGUGAAAGGAUCCGCUUUCAGAUUUAAGUCUGUCGUUUCUAACAAUCAUGUUAUCAUUUAUGUCAAACAGAGGAUAGUCUUUCAAUUUUAUUUAUUAGCCAGCUGUAACAUGUUUUUCACCUUUCCAAGACUUAAUGUUAUUGCUGUGUCUUGAUUCUGGUUUGCUUUGAAGUUUGGAGAAGUUGAAACUACAUCCUACGAUUUAACGCGAUAAUUAUUAUUAUUUUUAAAUCAUGUUACGUUUAAGUAUUCUAAACUUAGUAUUUGAAAAGAAAAUUAAAUUUGUGUGUGUGUGUGUGUGUGUGUGUGUGUGUGUGUGUGUGUGUAUUUUUUAAACUCCAAGUCUUAAAGUAACUUUAUCCUUUAAGACAAAUGUUAAGAAAGGAAAAAAAUAUAUAUGUUGGCACAUAACCAGAAGAAAGGUUUUAGAUAUUCUGGUGAUGUAUCAUUUUUAUUCAUUGUCUCUUAAAGUGUUGAAAUGUUUAGAUCUCUUUAAGUAUGUUGUAUUAUUUGUAAAAAGUGAAGAAUAAAUUGUUUUUUUUUUCUAUUUUGUUUAAGUUCAACUUUAUAUUUUUGUUUCAAAAUGUCCGUAAAACAAGCUCAGCCUGUAUUUAAUACAUGUAAUGUCGACAUUUAGUAAAUGUAGUUGCUUUUCUUAAAGUAUGACGAUCCAAUGUUAGGAUGCAGUUUAAUUUUCCUACAUUUGUUUGGUAUACGUUUUGGGGGGAAAAAUAACAUGCCCGUACUGUAAUUCGACUUUUGAUUAAUAAAAUCGAAUGGUGAAUGUUUUGACCUGCUCUUUUCUAAAAUGUGUCAACAUGACCAUCCCCCUGAAUAUUACUUUGUGCUUUUGCAUCUUAAGUUUGGCACCCUCCAGUGUUUGAAUUUGGUCAUUUAUUCAUUUCACAGUUCGUCAUCUUUUUGCACCUCAGUUUGUUUUUGUUUUUUUUGGGGGGGUUUUUUGAAAGCAGGUAAGAGUCUAAAAGUAAUUAUAAGUGGAAAUUUUUUAAAUAUUUGCUAAUAUGAGCUGAGGUGGGCAAUAUAAAAUCAUAUUGAAAAAAUA